rnacentral:rRNA from 1 species
UCGGGAAUUUUGGGCAAUGGGCGAAAGCCUGACCCAGCAACGCCGCGUGAAGGAUGAAGUAUUUCGGUAUGUAAACUUCGAAAGAAUAGGAAGAAUAAAUGACGGUACUAUUUAUAAGGUCCGGCUAACUACGUGCCAGCAGCCGCGGUAAUACGGAGGAUCCAAGCGUUAUCCGGAAUCAUUGGGUUUAAAGGGUCCGUAGGCGGUUAGAUAAGUCAGUGGUGAAAGCCCAUCGCUCAACGGUGGAACGGCCAUUGAUACUGUCUGACUUGAAUUAUUAGGAAGUAACUAGAAUAUGUAGUGUAGCGGUGAAAUGCUUAGAGAUUACAUGGAAUACCAAUUGCGAAGGCAGGUUACUACUAAUGGAUUGACGCUGAUGGACGAAAGCGUGGGUAGCGAACAGGAUUAGAUACCCGAGUAGUCCCUGAGCGGGCUGGCAAGGCGCAU